GUCGGCGGCCCCCAGCCCGCAGAGCGAGGCCGUGGCCAAUGAGCUGCAGGAGCUCUCCCUGCAGCCCGAGCUGACCCUCAGCCUCCAUCAUGGCCGGAACCCCAACCUGCCCCCGCUCAGUGAAAGGAAGAACGACUGCCCACUUUUUUCCUUCUGCCUCCUCCCCCAUCCCGGACCAUGAGGGUUCUUCUAACAGUUCUGCAGAAUUUCCAGAUGUCUGGCUGCCCUGCUGCAACUGCGCUCCAUUAACCGAGAGGGAAGAAGACAUACAGAAAGCCCAAACAUUUCUGCAGCAUAAUCAUAAUAAAUCUGACAUAUCAUGAAA